GACGAACGCUGGCGGCGUGCUUAACACAUGCAAGUCGAGCGGUAAGGCCCUUUCGGGGUACGACGAGCGGCGAACGGGUGAGUAACACGUGGGUAACCGUCGCCCUCAGCUCUGGGAGUAAGCCCGGGAAACGUGGGUCUAAUACCGGAUAUGACCUCGUAUCGCAUGGUGCGGGGUGGAAAGUGUUCAGUGGCUGAGGAU
rnacentral:rRNA from 1 species